UACGGAGGGUGCAAGCGUUGUUCGGAUUUACUGGGCGUAAAGUGCGCGCAGGUGGGUGAACAAGUCGGAAGUGAAAUCUUGAGGCUCAACCUCGAGGCUGCUCCCGAAACUGUUCGCCUAGGGACUGGUAGAGGCUGGUAGAAUUCCCGGUGUAGCGGUGGAAUGCGUAGAGAUCGGGAAGAAUACCGGUGGCGAAGGCGGCCAGCUGGGCCAGAUCCGACACUGAGGCGCGAAAGCGUGGGGAGCAAACAGG
rnacentral:rRNA from 1 species